rnacentral:SRP_RNA from 2 species
GCUGGGCGUGGUGGCUCACGCCUGUAAUCCCAGCACUUUGGGAGGCCGAGGCAGGUGGAUCACCUGAGGUUAGGAGUUUGAGACCAGCCUGACCAACAUGGAGAAACCCUGUCUCUA